GGAGCCUGCAGAGGCCGGUCUCGAACGGCACGAUGACCAGGGAGGCGCCCUCCGGCCGCCGAUCGGUCGCGGCGCCGAGGUCCCGGCGCGCCAAAGCCGUCGUGGUUCGCUCCGAGUCCGGCUCGGGACGCGGCGAGCAUUGCGCCCCUGCCAGGGCCGUCGCCGACGUCGCGCCGAUUCAGGCGACGAAGAAGGUAACUGCGUGCAACUCUUACAAACUGAAUUGUUGGAAGCAGCCAAUUGGCGAAUUCACUUGGUUCGGCAGGAAGUUGCUUUUAGGCGCGUACAUCAGCACACACACCAGUACACCAGCACACGUAAAGUGAUAAAGGUUCGAUGCUUUUCAUAAAAGAUAAAAGAUAAAAGUUUUUUUUAUAAUGAACAAGAAAAAAGGUUUGAUUUUGAUGGUUCCAUUUGACUUGGACCAGUUUGGGAACAGUUCCGUUACAGCACCUUUGGUUCAACUUGUGUCUGCUUUUAUUCAAAAAAAAAAAGAACGGCGGCCCAAAACUUUUUCGACCAGUUUAGGAACAGUUCCGUUAGAGCACCUUUGGUUCAACUUUGUGUCCAUCAGAACGGCAGGCCAAAACUUUUCCAAAAAGAACUUCCGACCAUAAAGAAGCGUUGUAGGCUCACAGCCACAGCACUGUGAACAUAUAGCAGACUACAAACCGUUAAGUGCAAGUUUUUAACUGGCCUACGAGGGGCUCAUUCCCCCUUCUUCCUCCCAUCCUCUCUUUCUCUUCUUCCUCCUCCUCCUUUUUUCUCUUCUUCCUCUUACAUCCAUGGUUAAAAUUUUCAUGGGCUGCGCGGGGUAGGGGCUCUAGGCUUGGGCAUUUCUCAGGCUGGGUCGGGCUUUAGCCGGGCUAAAAAAAGUCCAGUUCAUUUCGGAUUGAAAAUUCGUACCCACAAUUAUCCCAUAGGCGUUCUCGAGCUAAUUUUUCGAACCAGGCCACUCAAUUUCCGUUCUUUAUAGUUGAAAAAUAAAUCAAAUAAAUUGUCUAGGUGGGUUUUGGCCGGCCUGAAUUUUUUUAGGCUUGGUUUUAGCUGACCACGCUCAGUCCCAUAGGAAGCAUGGGCGGGCCAAAUCCUAGCAGGCUCGGGCCGAGCCCACAGGCCGGGCCAAGCCAAAAAUCUCAGGCAACCCCGCCCCUAGGCAUAAUAUUAAGUUUUCCUCCUGUUUCUAUGAGUUUUUAAAUAUCGCUCAAAGGUGAUUGAAGUCUAGUGUUUGAAUUACUAGUUAUCGUUCGCCAACAAAGAAUUGUAGUUGAACGAAUCUGACCAGUGGGUACGGUUGAUCUAGAAUAAGGAUACUAUCAUGGGCCUUCUCUUAUCGUCUCCAUCUUCUUUGACAAGGCCCAGCACCACUCCAAAGUCCAAACAGUCCGCGCGUUGCCUUUGUUCAGCGCAAACGCAGCGCAGAAUCACGGCGCCCGCAUUACUACUCGCCCUCGUGAGCCAAGCAUGGUUCAGCAUUAUUGUUAAGAUCAAAGAUGAUACUAAGCAAUAUAUUAUUGUUUUAAGCAUAUUGAUAGUAUCCAAAUGAUAUCUGACCAUUACACACAACACACUACAAAAAUCACUAACAUGUGUAAGUGAAGACUAUAGAUGUUUGGAGACUUCAAAAUUUACUCUAUAAGAACUAGGUUUGACAUAUUGAUCGAAUGCCAAGUUACUUUGGGCAAAUCAUAAUCAUAAUGAUACCACAAUGUUAAUAAUAUAUUAAUACUUAAUGAUCAUGGAGCCAAUAAAAAACUCACGAGCUGGUCUUUUAAGAAAACUAGGUAAAAAUGAGGCUCCACUCGGUUUGUUUUAAAGGUUGAGCCGAACCAAAUCAAGCCAAGCUAUGAACAAGUCGAGCCAACUCGCAAAGCUUGAGCACUUUGCUAGCAUUAAUCAUAACCCUAUGAACACCUAUAGGAAAUUGGGUUAGUAGAUUUUUAAAAUUGACAAAGUCGCCAUAUGUAUCUUGAUAUUGAUGACAACAUCGCCUAAUGAAAAGUAGCCAUAUUAAUGUGCCAAACCUGAUUGUAUCUCUUGUGGACACGGGAUAUAACCAACUCCGAUGACCAGCCAAGUUAUUUUGCUAUCGAGCGAAUUUCAUAAACAAAUUUAAAAGUACUUUUUUGUUUAAGUCAUCAGAAAUUCACACCAUAUAUCGCAAAAUGUCAAAACCACAUUUUUAAAUAUAAAUAUGGAAUAGAAGUUGUAGUUAUAAUUCCUUCUAUUCCGACGCUCUCCUUGCCACUGAAUCUGCCCUUUUCCGGCAUAUCAACUACUAUCUACAUGUAAGCAAACAAAAAAAGGCAUAGGCACAUGAGAGUGACGAGUAUGCCUGCUGGAAGUGAAGGCAAAUGCUUUAAAAGUGUGGUUUCGUGAUAUGAUGAAAAGAUAUGCAAGUAAAAGUGUGACUGCCUUAAAACUGUUGCUUAGAAGUGCGAUGCUGUGAUGGAGCUGUGACAAAAAGUAGCUAGUUCUUGUAAGAUUUUCUCUUGAUCGUUUCCUCCCAUUAACAUUUGUUUCUGAACUCUAAGCAUGCUUUUAUUAUAAUUUAUAACCUAUCCGUGGCAUUCAACUCAACUAUAGCAAGAACCACGAAUGGAAAAAUAAAAAACAUAGUAAUGUUUUUUUAGAAAAACAUAGUAAUGUUUUUUUAGAAAAACAUCUGUGAUAUUGGCGUGGUGAUCUAGUCACUGUAGUUCAAUAGCAGCUAGGUUCAUAGGUCUAAAUACUGCUGAAUCAUUUCAUUAUUUGGAAUCUUUGGAGCAAGACAAACUGCCGCAUGACUACCAAUAUAGAGUGACGCCGCCUAUUUUGUAGCGAUUCUGUUUACCUUAGAUAAGGAUAAUAUAAACUGCUGCACACUGGAUCGCUCGUCAAGCCCAUGGUUUCGCCAAAACCAGAGAAAACAUAUAGCACUUGAGCUCUGCCCAUGCAAGGGAUUUUUUUUCCCAUGGUUUGGUACGUGCAUCAGGAAUGUGAACGGAAUUGGGCAUGGAAUCCACACGAGCCAGAAUGCCAGAUGCAUCUUGGCAAGCCUAGCAAUUAUUUGAGUACAGCAUGCCGGUAGAUAGGCUGCUCGACCGUGCAUCCUGCAAGUGGCCAAGGUUUUGCUGCAUGGGCGCCACCACGUAGGGACAUGUUAUACGUCGCAUUUUUUGGUUGGAGCUAAUCAAUCAACUUUUCAGUAAAAAUAAUACCUCCAUGCUCAUUCAUAGAGAUUCCUAGAUGGUCUUAACUUGCACUAGGUGUUGCCUGCAGCAGAGCUCAUUCGGCUAUUGUCUUGUCACUACCAAACCCUUAGACCAACAGAGUGUUAACUGCAAUCCACGCUCCUGUUUGUGGAUUUGCAUUCUGACGCAUCAUGUGUUCAUUGUUUGGUGCCCAAAGAAAUCACUUGCAUAGAAAACAAGGCCUCUCCACUUCCCCACAAAUUCUACCGAGAAUAAUCAGGGGCAAAUUCUGGCAUAAGGCAGACACCAGACAAAGAUGCUGAAAGGUACUCGUGCAAGUUUUCUGCAGUUGUUUUGUCUGAAAUUUGUCCAAUGUUUGCCUCCCAGGGCUUGCAUCUUUCGACUUCAAUAGUGUGUUUGGGUUUGGGAUGAGGUCAUGAGGCCCCAAAAAAUCUCAUUGAUUUAGACAGAUGUUAAAAGUUGUAUACAAGUGGUACAUCGUACAUGAUAAUUUCGCUAAAGCAAGGGUAGUAGGUGACAAUUCCGCUGUUCGGACCCAUCUCAUUUUUUAGGUGAAAUAGUAGGGGAGACGUACCUGAAAAUUAUUCCUCCAUAAUUUCACUUUGAAUGAUAUGUGAUAGAGGGGCAUUAAUAUAAUAAUUUAAACAAAUCUAGUGAUGCCUGGGGAUUUUUUUUCCAGGAAGAAUAGAGACUUCAACUGCAAAAAAGUUGUAGAAACAAACACAUUUAGCCCUCAACUCAGCAGGUCUGACAAAUUCUUGUGGUUAUAAGAUCUUAGAGAAAAAGAAGAGAUAAAUUUGAAACCUAUCUCAGAGUGUCAUGAACCAUAAACAACUCCCAUCUGAUGCCGUCUGCAACGUACUUUGAACUGAAGAGCUAAGAAAGAGUAAUUAGCCAUAGACACAACUCUAGUCAAGAUAGAGUUUGGGCUAAAACAACUUCAUCUUAGAAAUCGUUAUGAUGCAGACUAUUUCAGUUUGGGCUGCAUUAUUGAAGUGUACAAUAAUAAUAGGUAAAAUUAAAAUAAACAAGUUUCAUGAAUUAUUUGAACAACUCAUUGGAUGUUCUUGUUGCAGUCAUCUGGUGUGGCAUAGCAUAAUUCAUUCUCGGAAACGAUUCAUUUGAUCAAAUGCAUGAAUCCGAGAGUUAAGUAAUUUCUGUUGCAUAGGAUAGUUUUGCAUUGAGGAAAGCUGAGACAACCAACUGUUCGUUGGAUGUAUACUUGUUGCAUUGCAGCCAUCCGGUGUUGCAGUGCAAAUCCACAAGGCUAAGAUAGCUGACAAUUUAUUUUUUCAAACAUUUAAUUCUUCUUUUUUCCCAACCUGGAAGUUCAUUUUGAGUUGCCCAUUUGAUUGAAACAUGGAACACGUUUUGCAUAGAUUUAUUUUUCGUAGGUAAAGGUUUUGCAGCGAAGAUCUAGUUUCCGUGAUUUUCAACGGACGCACUCCGUUUUUCCUUGUGGAUACGUAAGAACAACGACGGUCCACUUGAGUCACCGAUAGAAAGCUCCGAACGGUGUACCGCUCUCCUUUGCCGACGCCGUCCGUCAGCUCACGAAAACGUGACGGACUGACGGGCAUGGGCAUGAAUUGCCCCAUUUAACGAAACUUAACCCUGUUCACACAAUCACAUAGGAUGAAUUCGGAUAAAAUUUUAAGGACUGGCCCCAGAAAUUUUAGUUUCUCUCUUCCCAUCUACACAUGGAUGUGAGCAGCGUGGUUCACCAGGCUCGCACAACGGACGAAGCCACGGCAGAGCGGCUCGCGCGCAGCCGUGCACGGCGCGGCAAAACAGCCAUCGGCGCCUCUUUCUUCUGCAUCGCCGGGGCACAUGCGCGCGCGCCCUGCCGGGGGCGGGGAACGGGAUACCAGGCGGGGACGGCCGCGCGCCCGCGGGUUUGCGGCAGCGUUGCCCCUGCCCGGAUGGUUGUUGUCGCGGCGUGGUGGCCGCGCACGGAACCGCGGUCGCGUGUCAAGCCAAUGUCCCCGGCCGCUGCGCCACACCGAUCCAAGACUUGGAUGGACAAAAAAAAUCACAGGAGCACUCACUGGCUGUCGUACAAAAUUCAUCAACACUUUUGGAUUUCGAACUUUGAAUUUGUUUAGGCUAGACGAACGCAGAUUGGGCCGAAUCUUUUCGGAACGAAAAGAAGAAGAAGAUGAAGAAGAAACAAACAACCAGUGAGAUUGACAGCGGGGUCCGAGUCCAACUCCGAGCUGGAUGACGUGAACGAUCAGACUGCGCGUUACGCUCGGCAAGAAAAGAAAGACAAAGACGGCCGCCAUAUCCAUGGAUCCCUGCCGAGACCGUGGACGGGCGGGCGUGUAGCUGAGCUGCGCAACGGAUAGCGUUGUCCGUCGUGGCAGGAUGGGUGGUGCUCGUUCCGUUCCGUCCGCGUUGGACGCCGGGGUUUCGCAGUCGCAGCCAUGCACGAUAUAUGGCCUGCCGGCGCACGUGUGCUUUAUUGACACUCCACCCUGAUCCGGCCUUAUCUAAUUCUUAUUACUGUGCUAGCCAAAUCCAAGAACCACCCGAGAAAUUCAGACUGCAACACAGUUAAAAAAAAAAGGAUGAAACAGCUUGGGCAAAGUGCUUUUGGUUGCGGCAUCUCCCGGUGCAUCACCGAAAACAAAUUUGGGUAGCGGAGAGGUGUACAAUUUUGGUUGGAGCAUUAUAUUGCUCCCCAACAAGAUAAAGCACUUCAUGAAACGGAAAGGGCGCCCCCACCGUGUCUUGCACGUAGCGCGUCACGUAUGCCGGCGGCACGUGCGGGAGCGAUUCAGUUCCAGAGCUUUUCUGGGAAUGGAACAAGGGUGACGGGGUUGUUCUGGGUCUCUUUGAUUGUGUCGCACUCAUUUUACUAAGGUCAGUUGGGAGUUUUAUGACACUAAAUUCAAUAUAAACAUCAGCAAAAUUGCUAGCUUAGCAAGAUAAUUAAUAGAGGGAGUUUUAUAAGAUGAGAGAGGAGUUUCAUCCCCAUAACACUUAUCUGGCACAGUUAGCUAGUUCUUAGUAUAGGUAACUGCGUACUGAGAAUGGCCUUAAGUAAUUCAGUUUUGAAACUUCAGUUCAUAUGUUCGUAUCAAGCAGUUCUAUUGAUGUGGCUAUAUAAAGUGUUAAAUCUUUCAAGGGAUCUCACUUAAAUAUACACUAUUAAAUACCGCAGAACUUCCGACAAAAAGCAGCUCGCACUCGGUUUUGGGAAAAGAUAAAAAAAAAAGACAGCCUGCGCAGCGGUGUUUCCGAAAACAAAAAACAAAAAUGCGAGAAGCGCACAAAAAGAAACAGAUUGUUGGUUGGAGCAUCAUCGCUCACAACAAAUCUACCGUAACACUUGCGCAAGCGAUGGACACCAGCUGGCUAAGCUUUUUGUGUCGAUAUGGAACAGAAAGGGGCACUGUAGUGUUGGUACCUUGCACGUAUGCGUCCGUUACAUGUUCGACGAACGUGAGUCACCCGUCGUCGUAGAUGAGACCACGCCAAUUCAGUUCGAUGAGAGCCUUUUUUUAAUUCUUCUGUGGAGAAGACAACAGCAACCGUGACGUGUUGGAUUGUUGUACGCGCCGCGCCAUUAGCUUUUUCACUAGCCUGAGACCACUUCCAACUUUGCAAACUUGCUCGUAUUACGUGUAAAUCUCAUCCGAGCUGGGAUUAUGCCCAAGUGCCCAACCAAUUUUGUGCACGCACGUUUCACUUUUAAUGUUUGCGGUGGGCUGCUGACCCUGGGUUUGUGGCCUGUGAAGAAAAAGCGUUAACUAGAUGCUUGCAAGCUUCUUCAUCACACACUGUUCGUUGCGCUCGUCGCCCUGUCACCAACCGGUCCCUUCAGGUCGAUCACACCACCGGUUCGCCACGUCAGUGUCUCGCUUCACUCGCUAUAAAUAGAGCCCGGCGCCGGCUCUGCUUCAUCACCAAUUGUGAUCUCUGCUAGCUACCGUACCUCCAGUGUGUGCUCGUGCUAACAGCAGCAAUGGCGCCCGCUCAAUGUGUGGCCUCGCAGAGGGUGUUCCACUUCGGCAAGGGCAAGAGCGAGGGCAACAAGACGAUGAAGGAGCUGCUGGGCGGCAAGGGCGCGAACCUGGCGGAGAUGUCGAGCAUCGGGCUGUCGGUGCCGCCGGGGUUCACGGUGUCGACGGAGGCCUGCCAGCAGUACCAGGAGGCGGGGCGCUCCCUGCCGCAGGGCCUCUGGGACGAGAUCAUCGACGGCCUGGCGUGGGUGGAGGAGGAAAUGGGCGCCCGCCUCGGCGACCCGCAGCGCCCGCUCCUGCUCUCCGUCCGCUCCGGCGCCGCGGUAAUGCCAUGGCCAUGCCAUCCUUGUUCGUUUGGUUCAUUCGCCUGCUCGCUUCUGAUCGCUUUGCCUUUGUGUUAUGUGAUAUGCGCAGGUGUCGAUGCCCGGGAUGAUGGACACGGUGCUCAACCUGGGACUCAACGACGAGGUGGCCGCCGGGCUCGGCGCCAAGAGCGGCGAGCGCUUCGCCAACGACUCCUACCGCCGCUUCCUCGACAUGUUCGGCAACGUCGUGAGUAUCUCCUGCCCAUCUGUCCUAAUGACUCAUCAGCGCCUCGUCGGAUCGGAGACGAUCUCGCAUGUUAAGCUAGCUUGGUUGUUGAUCACUCUACUCGCUUACUUGUAUGACUAGCUAGCUUGGUAGGUAGCUUAGCUAGGCGGCCUAUGCCUAGUUGUGCGUGCAUCGACCCAUGAUCGCUUCCGCGGGUGACCCGCGUCCGUCCGAGACGACGGCGGCUGCGUCGCACGCUUGCGGCCGCCGCCGGGGGCCACCAGCGUCGGGGGUUUCGUCUGUUUUGCCAGGCAGGACGCAGGACGGUGGGAGAGUACUUGCAGCACAGUGCUGUGUUUUCUUGGGUUAACCGAACGUGUGGGGAUCAUUCGGCACGGUUAAGCCAGUGAACGUGCUCGAUGCCCCGGCGUUGGAGUUAACCAGUGAAGUGAUUGGGCCAAGCACCUUUGCUUUUUGCUGCCAAUAAUAGGCAAGGUCCAAAUCAGAGAAGCUUUUCUACCUUUUUUAUUUCUUCUUAAAAAGUAAAAAAAAUUUGCGGACCUAAAAAGAAUAAAAAAUAUUUUCCAACGCAAAUGGAGGAAGGAAGUUGACGGUUCAAGAAAGGAACACGGCGACGGCAUCGUUGUAUCAGGUAAGAGGAAUUCGCAGGUGUGUGCAUAUUCCCCUGCAGAAAUUUAACAUGGACGGAGCAGUAUAUACAAGGUCAUUGUCAGUGUUCAAGCUCAUGCUAGACAGCCCUGUACGGUAUGUCGGUUGUCGGAGGUACGCCUCGUUUGUGGGGCUGAAGGACCGAUGACGGCGGCGCCUGUCUUCACCAGCAGAGUUUGACACUCUUUCCACCCGGAAAAUGGGUACAAGACGAUGAGGAAAAGAAAGUUUCUUGAAACGCCAUAGAAAAAUAUUUUUUAAAAACAAUGAGCAUUUAAUAUGGUCAGUUGGGGGCUGAGGGGAGAAGGUUGGUUGGUUCAACCUGCACACACAAGUGAUGACAUCUGCUAUGGAGAUGCUCAACCAGAGUUGGUUUUGGUCAUCUGUAAUUAGUUUUUUCAAUGACACUUCUAACUAGAAUGCUCAAACAGAGUUUUGUUUGUACUAUAAGAUAAUUGUUCCUCAGCAGAGCCUUUCUUUACCACCAGGUCAUGGACAUUCCCCACGCACUGUUCGAGGAGAAGCUUGAAGCCAUGAAGGAAGCCAAGGGGGUGAAGAACGACAAUGACCUGACUGCCUCUGACCUCAAAGAGCUGGUGGCUCAGUACAAGGAGGUCUACGUCGAAGCCAAGGGGGAGCCAUUUCCCUCAGGUAUGCCCACCGCAGCCUCACCCUCAGUUGAUAAUAUCUGUAUGAAAAAAAAAAUUCUCUUGAAACUAAAGCUGUUUCUUUGCAUCAAACUUAUGCAUGCCUUUACCUUGUUUUGUCUUGCAGAUCCCAAGAAGCAGCUUGAGCUAGCAGUGUUGGCUGUGUUCAACUCGUGGGACAGCCCCAGGGCCAACAAGUACAGGAGCAUUAACCAGAUCACUGGUCUGAAAGGCACUGCUGUGAACGUGCAGUCCAUGGUGUUUGGCAACAUGGGGGACACUUCUGGCACUGGCGUGCUCUUCACUAGGAAUCCUAGCACUGGAGAGAAGAAGCUGUAUGGCGAGUUCCUGGUGAAUGCUCAGGUAUGGACCAGUUUCUGUUGUGCCUAUUUGAUUCACAAUCUUAGCUGCCCUGUUUGAUCAAGUUAUUUUACACAAGUUAUAUUAAACAUGCAGUAGUAUCAACGAAUCUGUAUAAUGUAUGUGUGUUUCUGGUUCAGGGUGAGGAUGUGGUUGCUGGAAUCAGAACCCCGGAGGAUCUUGAUGCCAUGAAGGCACAGAUGCCGGAUGCUUAUGUAGAGCUCGUUGAGAACUGCAAGAUACUGGAGAGCCACUACAAAGAAAUGAUGGUACCUUAUUAUUGCAUUUUCAACCUUUACUGCACCAUUUAUUUUUGAGCUAUAUUUAAACAUGAUCUCUUUAAUAAUUUGCAACAUAAGCGCACUUGAAUACUGGUGUUGCUUCAAUGUGUUCUGUAGAUUGGCAUUGUGUCUCUGUUACUGCCAUUGGCCAUGAUCUCAGACUUGCUUGCUUUUUAUGCAUGAUGCAGGACAUUGAAUUUACCGUUCAGGAAAAUAGGCUCUGGAUGUUACAGUGCAGAUCAGGAAAACGUACAGGCCAAGGGGCGGUAAAGAUUGCUGUGGACAUGGUUAAUGAGGGUCUUGUUGAGCGCCGUCAAGCGAUUAAGAUGGUAGAGCCAGGCCACCUGGACCAGCUUCUCCAUCCUCAGGUAAUGGAUAACCAUGAGGCCCGUAAACUGAUUGUGCCUUACUUGAAAUUCAGUACUCUUAUAAGUUUGGCCUUACUUGGAAUUCACUUUAUAAGUUAAGUACUGGAUAUGUAUUAACAUCACUGUUUUAAUCUUGUCCAAUGAAAACCAGUUUGAGAACCCAUCAGCAUACAAGGAUCAAGUAAUCGCUACAGGCUUACCAGCUUCACCUGGGGCUGCUGUGGGCCAAAUUGUAUUUACUGCAGAGGACGCUGAAGCAUGGCAUGCCCAAGGGAAAGCUGCUAUCCUGGUAAACACCAUUUUAUCCUCAUUUUUAAGAAAAAAAGGUCUUCUGCAGUUUUUGUGUCAUUUUGAUCUGGACUUUGUGCUUCGAUGAAAAGAUCUGUUAAUUGAGCAAAACUGGUCUAUUUACUGGACCUGUUAGAAUAGUUGCUUGCAGAGUUACAGUCACAAAAAUCCCACUUAUCACAGACAGCCAUUUUUGAAAUGCAUAUGGAAGCUCCAAGUCGUAUCGCUUCAUCUUUUGCAUUCUGAGAAUUUUUUCUUUGCAAAUAUAUAGGUGAGGACAGAGACCAGCCCAGAGGAUGUUGGUGGCAUGCACGCAGCUGUUGGAAUUCUUACAGCAAGAGGUGGGAUGACCUCUCAUGCUGCUGUGGUAGCACGUGGUUGGGGAAAAUGUUGUGUCUCAGGAUGCUCAAGCGUUCUCGUAAAUGAUGCUGAGAAGGUGAAUAGAAUUCUUGUUUGCACAUCUUCUUCUUUGUAGAAGGUGACAUGCCAUGUUAAAGUUUGUAACAGGAUUAUGACAUUCUUUGUAGAUGUGCUCCGUCCGCCAUUUUUAAGUUCUUAUUAACGAGAUUUUGAGGAUGUAGAUGUUUCCUUACUUUGCUAUGUCUACAUUUACAGUCUGUAGUGAUUGGAGACAAGGUGAUGCAUGAAGGUGAGUGGCUAUCACUGAAUGGAUCUACUGGUGAAGUCAUCGUGGGGAAGCAGCCACUUUCCCCACCAGUCCUCAGUGGUGAUCUGGGAACCUUCAUGUCCUGGGUAGAUGAAGUUAGGCAACUGAAGGUAAAUUCCUAGAAAUAACAAAUAUGUAAUAUUAGUUAAAACAUGGAUACAAACUGUUGGAAGUAGAAACCAACAAAAAGGGCAUCAGAUUAUUUAUUCAGACAGGCCAAAGCUAGUCAACCCCACUACACAUUUUUCAACAGAAAUGCUUAUUCGUACAUAUGAUCCACCUUCCAGGUUUUGGCUAAUGCGGAUACCCCUGAGGAUGCACUGACAGCAAGAAACAAUGGGGCAGAAGGAAUUGGACUAUGCCGGACGGAGCACAUGGUAUGUAUUUUAGUUACUGUCCAAUAUCUUUUGGGUGGGAUCUUGGAAAACUUACUCUUUCUUGAAUUCCUUCGUCGAACAGUUGGGUAAACUUUAAGGACCUCCCGUUCUAGUCUCAUGUUCUCCUUUUCUGCACUUUGGCAGUUCUUUGCUUCGGAUGAGAGGAUUAAGGCUGUGAGGCAGAUGAUUAUGGCUCCCACACUUGAACUGAGGCAGAAGGCACUAGAUCGUCUUUUGCCUUAUCAGAGGUCUGACUUUGAAGGCAUUUUCCGUGCUAUGGAUGGUAUGUGAAAAUCACGAUGCAUUCAUUUACAUGCUCUCCAAUUGAACUGGAUGCACUAGUGUUACUGAACAUAACAAGAGUAAGCAACCUUCUUAAAUAGACAACAUUGACUACUAAUGUAAAGUGAAAAGGUAGACAAGUUUUAAACCUUAGGAUGCAAAAUACUUCAAAAAUAAGAACGAAAUUGGGCCAGUAACAUAUUGCAUCAAUUAUUUAACUUGGUAACAUAAAGUUCUGCUAUGAUUUAUCCAUUAGUUUUUUUUAAUCUUUUAUAGCGAGUGGUAUAUGUACAUGUUUCAUGGAAACAGAUAUAGAAUUAAACUACUAGAAUAAAUUUUAACAUGUAUUGUAGUUAGUUCCACAGUAUGUAUUUUAAAGUGCGGAAUGGAUUUGAACAUUAUUUUUUUUGCAUUUCAGGGCUUUCAGUGACUAUUCGGCUUCUGGACCCCCCACUUCAUGAGUUUCUUCCUGACGGGAAUGUUGAAGACAUUGUGCGUGAAUUAUGUUCUGAAACUGGAGCCAAUCAGGAGGAAGCCCUUGCAAGAAUUGAAAGUCUUUCAGAAGUAAAUCCAAUGCUUGGUUUCCGUGGGUGCAGGUUGGUUUUUGUGCUCCGUUUAAAUCAGUCACCCCCCCUCCUUGAUCCAUUUGGUUCCCUUGUUAGUGAAAUAUUAAAAAGAAUAAACUCUGUAUAUUUACCUCGACUAAUAUUGGAACUGCUAAAAUUCCAGGCUCGGUAUAUCAUAUCCUGAGCUAACAGAAAUGCAAGCCCGUGCCAUCUUUGAAGCUGCUAUAGCGAUGACCAACCAGGGUGUUCAAGUUUUCCCAGAGAUAAUGGUUCCUCUUGUUGGGACACCUCAGGCAUGCAUCUUUAUUUCCUUAUUUGUGCAUAUGGUAUCUCUGCAGUUCAUGGUGUUCAAAAUGACAAAAUCAAAAUUGAAUAAACAACCAAGUUCUGUACACAUGUAAUUUACGAUUUUAUGCAAACAUCAAGUUGACCUACACCCAAUUUCCCACCAAAUUCAUUUCUUGAAAUUUUCUCUCUCGAAUUCUAAGUUUAUUGCUUUCACUUGAUUUUUCCUUCAGACAUCUGACAUUUGACUUUUGCAGGAACUGGGGAAUCAAGUGGCCCUUAUCCGUGAAACUGCUAACAAAGUUUUCGCUGCUCUGGGUAAAACCAUUGACUACAAAAUUGGAACUAUGAUUGAAAUUCCGAGGGCAGCUCUAGUAGCUGAUGAGGUAGGAAGCAUCUAACUCCCUUCAGAAUAAUCUUAAAUAUUGCUGUUUAGGUUUAGCUUUUAGAUCAUAUUUUUCAUGAAUGGUUUAGUAAUAGAACCCCGGAUUUUUACUCUAAAACAUGUGAAUAGUAACUGAUGGUAUGAAUUUAUUAAGUGCAAAUAAUAAGUUUAUCCUCUAAUUUAAAAAAAAAACUGACAUUCUUGUUUUGGUUUCACAACCUGACAGAUAGCAGAGCAGGCUGAAUUCUUCUCUUUUGGAACGAACGACCUCACACAGAUGACAUUUGGCUACAGCAGGGAUGAUGUGGGGAAGUUUCUUCCCAUUUAUCUGUCUCAGGGUAUCCUCCAACAUGAUCCCUUUGAGGU
rnacentral:lncRNA from 1 species